CCUACGGGAGGCAGCGGUGGGGAAUUUUGGACAAUGGGCGCAAGCCUGAUCCAGCAAUGCCGCGUGCAGGAUGAAGGCCUUCGGGUUGUAAACUGCUUUUGUACGGAACGAAAAAGUCUGCCCUAAUACGGUGGGCCCAUGACGGUACCGUAAGAAUAAGCACCGGCUAACUACGUGCCAGCAGCCGCGGUAAUACGUAGGGUGCGAGCGUUAAUCGGAAUUACUGGGCGUAAAGCGUGCGCAGGCGGUUAUAUAAGACAGAUGUGAAAUCCCCGGGCUCAACCCGGGACCUGCAUUUGUGACUGUAUAGCUAGAGUACGGUAGAGGGGGAUGGAAUUCCGCGUGUAGCAGUGAAAUGCGUAGAUAUGCGGAGGAACACCGGAUGGCGAAGGCAAUCCCCUGGACCUGUACUGACGCUCAUGCACGAAAGCGUGGGGAGCAAACAGGAUUAGAUACCCUGGUAGUCCACGCCCUAAACGAUGUCAACUGGUUNUUGGGUCUUCACUGACUCAGUAACGAAGCUAACGCGUGAAGUUGACCGCCUGGGGAGUACGGCGCAAGGUUGAAACUCAAGGAUUGACGGNNGNGAGNGCGAGACGACGACGAGGAGAGG
rnacentral:rRNA from 1 species